ACGUGAGCAACCUGCCCUUGACUCUGGAAUAACAGCUGGAAACAGCUGCUAAUACCGGAUAUGACCUCUUGCGACAUCGCACGGAGGUGGAAAGCUCCGGCGGUCAAGGAUGGGCUCGCGGCCUAUCAGCUAGUUGGUGGGGUAACGGCCUACCAAGGCUUCGACGGGUAGCCGGCCUGAGAGGGCGACCGGCCACACUGGGACUGAGAUACGGCCCAGACUCCUACGGGAGGCAGCAGUGGGGAAUAUUGCACAAUGGGCGCAAGCCUGAUGCAGCAACGCCGCGUGCGGGAUGACGGC
rnacentral:rRNA from 1 species